CCUACGGGAGGCAGCAGUGGGGAAUCUUGCGCAAUGGGCGAAAGCCUGACGCAGCAACGCCGCGUGCGGGAUGAAGGCCUUCGGGCUGUAAACCGCUUUCAGCAGGAACGAAAAUGACGGUACCUGCAGAAGAAGGAGCGGCCAACUACGUGCCAGCAGCCGCGGUGACACGUAGGCUCCAAGCGUUGUCCGGAUUUAUUGGGCGUAAAGAGCUCGUAGGCGGUCUAGUAAGUCGGGUGUGAAAACUCUGGGCUCAACCCAGAGACGCCAUCCGAUACUGCUGUGACUUGAGUUCAGGAGGGGAGCGGGGAAUUCCUAGUGUAGCGGUGAAAUGCGCAGAUAUUAGGAGGAACACCGGUGGCGAAGGCGCCGCUCUGGACUGAAACUGACGCUGAGGAGCGAAAGCAUGGGUAGCAAACAGGAUUAGAUACCCUGGUAGUCCAUGCCGUAAACGGUGGGCACUAGGUGUGGGUUUCAACUAACGAAAUCCGCGCCGUCGCUAACGCAUUAAGUGCCCCGCCUGGGGAGGUACGGUCGCGAGACUAAACUACAAGAAGUAGACGGCGNGAGACGNGCCGACGGACGACGACGAGGGAGGUAGG
rnacentral:rRNA from 1 species